UACAGAGGGUGCGAGCGUUAAUCGGAAUUACUGGGCGUAAAGCGCGCGUAGGCGGCUUUGCAAGUCGGGUGUGAAAUCCCCAGGCUUAACCUGGGAACUGCAUUCGAGACUGCAUUGCUAGAGUAUGGGAGAGAGAAGUGGAAUUUCCGGUGUAGCGGUGAAAUGCGUAGAUAUCGGAAGGAACAUCAGUGGCGAAAGCGACUUCCUGGACCAAUACUGACGCUCAUGUGCGAAAGCGUGGGGAGCAAACAGG
rnacentral:rRNA from 1 species